ensembl:lncRNA
AUGUACAUUACAAUGAUAUAUUUUAUUUUAUGGGGACUGAAUGCUGAGUUAAGGCUCCCAGGCUUGCAAGGACUUUGGGCCCAACAAGUGUCAGGAGUCUUUGAAGCAUCCUCUGAAGCCCUCUCCUGCUGUUCAAAGACCAUUCAUUCAUUUUCUACAAGAAAUCUGCCUCCAGAAAUAAAAGCUUCUCCCAAGUGGGUGGGACACCUACCCCUGUCGUCUACUGCACUGCUGCUUGGAUUUCACCUGGUGAUCUGUUCACCAUCUGCCCUGGCCUGUCUCCCUCUGUCUGGUACAGGUACCUCCACCACACUCACCACUCUCUCCCUGGCCUGUCUCCCUCUGUCUGGUACAGGUACCUCCACCACACUCACCCCUCUCUCCCUGGCCUGUCUCCCUCUGUCUGGUACAGGUACCUCCACCACACUCACCCCUCUCUCCCUGGUCUGUCUCCCUCUGUCUGGUACAGGUACCUCCACCACACUCACCCCUCUCUCCCUGGCCUGUCUCCCUCUGUCUGGUACAGGUACCUCCACCACACUCACCCCUCUCUCCCUGGCCUGUCUCCCUCUGUCUGGUACAGGUACCCCCACCACACUCACCCCUCUCUCCCUGGCCUGUCUCCCUCUGUCUGGUACAGGUACCUCCACCACACUCACCCCUCUCUCCCUGGCCUGUCUCCCUCUGUCUGGUACAGGUACCUCCACCACACUCACCCCUCUCUCCCUGGCCUGUCUCCCCCUGUCUGGUACAGGUACCUCCACCACACUCACCACUCUCUCCCUGGCCUGUCUCCCUCUGUCUGGUACAGGUACCUCCACCACACUCACCACUCUCUCCCUGGUCUGUCUCCCCCUGACUGGUACAGGUACCUCCACCACACUCACCACUCUCUCCCUGGCCUGUCUCCCCCUGUCUGGUACAGGUACCUCCACCACACUCACCCCUCUCUCCCUGGCCUGUCUCCCUCUGUCUGGUACAGGUACCUCCACCACACUCACCCCUCUCUCCCUGGCCUGUCUCCCUCUGUCUGGUACAGGUACCUCCACCACACUCACCACUCUCUCCCUGGCCUGUCUCCCUCUGUCUGGUACAGGUACCUCCACCACACUCACCCCUCUCUCCCUGGCCUGUCUCCCUCUGUCUGGUACAGGUACCUCCACCACACUCACCCCUCUCUCCCUGGCCUGUCUCCCUCUGUCUGGUACAGGUACCUCCACCACACUCACCACUCUCUCCCUGGCCUGUCUCCCUCUGUCUGGUACAGGUACCUCCACCACACUCACCACUCUCUCCCUGGUCUGUCUCCCCCUGACUGGUACAGGUACCUCCACCACACUCACCACUCUCUCCCUGGCCUGUCUCCCCCUGUCUGGUACAGGUACCUCCACCACACUCACCCCUCUCUCCCUGGCCUGUCUCCCUCUGUCUGGUACAGGUACCUCCACCACACUCACCCCUCUCUCCCUGGCCUGUCUCCCCCUGUCUGGUACAGGUACCUCCACCACACUCACCACUCUCUCCCUCGUCUGUCUCCCCCUGUCUGGUACAGGUACCUCCACCACACUCACCACUCUCUCCCUGGCCUGUCUCCCCCUGUCUGGUACAGGUACCUCCACCACACUCACCACUCUCUCCCUGGCCUGUCUCCCUCUGUCUGGUACAGGUACCUCCACCACACUCACUCCUCUCUCCCUGGCCUGUCUCCCCCUGUCUGGUACAGGUACCUCCACCACACUCACCACUCUCUCCCUGGUCUGUCUCCCCCUGUCUGGUACAGGUACCUCCACCACACUCACCACUCUCUCCCUGGCCUGUCUCCCCCUGUCUGGUACAGGUACCUCCACCACACUCACCACUCUCUCCCUGGCCUGUCUCCCUCUGUCUGGUACAGGUACCCCCACCACACUCACCCCUCUCUCCCUGGCCUGUCUCCCUCUGUCUGGUACAGGUACCCCCACCACACUCACCCCUCUCUCCCUGGCCUGUCACCCUCUGUCUGGUACAGGUACCUCCACCACACUCACCCCUCUCUCCCUGGCCUGUCUCCCUCUGUCUGGUACAGGUACCUCCACCACACUCACCACUCUCUCCCUGGUUGUCUCCCCCUGA